GUGCCCUUUUAAGGUUGACGGGGUGCCGGAAGAAGCUAAGACAGAAGGGUAAAAUAAGUCUCCAUAAAACCCAGGGAGGAGAUUGUAAAACUCCUCUUUGGAUCCUGUCUGGAGUCACAGCU
rnacentral:snoRNA from 1 species